AUUGAACGCUGGCGGCAGGCCUAACACAUGCAAGUCGAGCGGGGGUAGCAAUACCCUAGCGGCGAACGGGUGAGGAAUGCUUGGGAAUCUGCCUCGUAGUGGGGGGAUAACGUUCCGAAAGGAACGCUAAUACCGCAUACGUCCUACGGGAGAAAGGGGGGGAUCUUCGGACCUCUCGCUAUGAGAUGAGCCCAAGCGGGAUUAGCUAGUUGGUGAGGUAAAGGCUCACCAAGGCUACGAUCCCUAGCUGGUCUGAGAGGAUGAUCAGCCACACUGGAACUGAGACACGGUCCAGACUCCUACGGGAGGCAGCAGUGGGGAAUAUUGGACAAUGGGCGAAAGCCUGAUCCAGCCAUGCCGCGUGUGUGAAGAAGG
rnacentral:rRNA from 1 species